rnacentral:rRNA from 1 species
GAUGAACACUGGCGGCGUGCCUAAUACAUGCCAGUCGAGCGAACAGACGAGGAGCUUGCUCCUCUGACGUUAGCGGCGGACGGGUGAGUAACACGUGGAUAACCUACCUAUAAGACUGGGAUAACUUCGGGAAACCGGAGCUAAUACCGGAUAAUAUAUUGAACCGCAUGGUUCAAUAGUGAAAGACGGUUUUGCUGUCACUUAUAGAUGGAUCCGCGCCGCAUUAGCUAGUUGGUAAGGUAACGGCUUACCAAGGCAACGAUGCGUAGCCGACCUGAGAGGGUGAUCGGCCACACUGGAACUGAGACACGGUCCAGACUCCUACGGGAGGCAGCAGUAGGGAAUCUUCCGCAAUGGGCGAAAGCCUGACGGAGCAACGCCGCGUGAGUGAUGAAGGUCUUCGGAUCGUAAAACUCUGUUAUUAGGGAAGAACAAAUGGGUAAGUAACUAUGCACGUCUUGACGGUACCUAAUCAGAAAGCCACGGCUAACUACGUG